UACGAAGGGGGCUAGCGUUGUUCGGAAUCACUGGGCGUAAAGCGCACGUAGGCGGAUCGUUAAGUCGGGGGUGAAAUCCCAGAGCUCAACUCUGGAACUGCCUUCGAUACCGGCGAUCUUCGAGUCCGGGAGAGGUGAGUGGAACUCCGAGUGUAGAGGUGAAAUUCGUAGAUAUUCGGAAGAACACCAGUGGCGAAGGCGACUCACUGGACACAUAUUGACGCUGAGGUGCGAAAGCGUGGGGAGCAAACAGG
rnacentral:rRNA from 1 species